UACGGAGGAUGCAAGCGUUAUCCGGAAUGAUUGGGCGUAAAGCGUCCGCAGGUGGCGAUGUAAGUCUGCUGUUAAAGAGUGAGGCUCAACCUCAUAAGAGCAGUGGAAACUACAUAGCUAGAGUACGUUCGGGGCAGAGGGAAUUCCUGGUGUAGCGGUGAAAUGCGUAGAGAUCAGGAAGAACACCGGUGGCGAAGGCGGCAUCCUGGACCGAGAUUGACGCUGAUGCGCGAAAGCCAGGGGAGCAAACGGG
rnacentral:rRNA from 1 species